AACGUAGGUCACAAGCGUUGUCCGGAAUUACUGGGUGUAAAGGGAGCGCAGGCGGGAAGACAAGUUGGAAGUGAAAUCUAUGGGCUCAACCCAUAAACUGCUUUCAAAACUGUUUUUCUUGAGUAGUGCAGAGGUAGGCGGAAUUCCCGGUGUAGCGGUGGAAUGCGUAGAUAUCGGGAGGAACACCAGUGGCGAAGGCGGCCUACUGGGCACCAACUGACGCUGAGGCUCGAAAGUGUGGGUAGCAAACAGGAUUAGAUACCCUGGUAGUCGGCACUGACU
rnacentral:rRNA from 1 species